UUAGCGUGUUUCGUGUGACGUAGGGCUGCGUAAGCAGCAGUUGGUGGGGUUCGCAGUGUAGAUUAGGCUCAGUACUAUAUAAGCGCUGGUGCUGUGCGGCUCCUUCCUUUUCCUUGGUCUUCAGCCUCGGUCAGGUUCAGGGUGCGAUUUUGUUGGGGUCCUUGGCGUGGCGGACACGUGCAUUGCCGUUGUUGCCGGUGAUACCACGUGGCCGGAUUUUGGUGGGUUGGCUGCUACGACCUCAACAUCUACGAUAAAGAACUGCUCAACCUCUUUGGAUCAGCAUCGGGAUUCUUCCCUCUGGCCGAGCAAAAUUUUUUAACCCCGACUGACAUCGUGAUGGAGAUGGUGUCGUGGAGCUUGGGCAACUGAACUCGAGAGACUGGCGGGUGUUCAUCCACGGAGUUUCUGCGGAGCCACGUGUCACGGAGACCCGCUAUGAUAAGUGACCCCAGUUAACCUCCACCCACGUGUCAGAAAUAAUUCGAACACUCAGUGUUGUUUAAAUUAAUAUUAGAUUAAUCAAAAAUGUAUUAUGGUCCAUGGUGUAGAUUUAAAAUAAUUUCGGGUUGUGUUAAACUCGUCCGUUAAUACAUAAAAGGAAGAUAAAGUUUUUUGUUAAUUCAAAUUUGUAUUAAGCUUACAUAAUAAGCUGUUACAUUAGUUUAAUUUAAUUUGGUUCUCCAAUCCAAUCUGUUCGCUAACUUUAUAUAUAUUUACCUCUCUGAUUUAGUUCGUCGUGUUAAGAAAGAAUUAAUUUUCACUCAUUCUAUACUCCUUUUAAUUUAAUUACAUUACAUAUAUUUACUACAUUUUUUUUUACGCGCGACUCCUUUUAAUAAUAUUUUUUAAUAAUUCGAUAGUAUUUAUUUCAAAUAAUUUUAUAACAAUGGUAAAAACCACAGCGUGUGUCGUCUACGCCACAAUGCUAAACAUUAAUCACUAAACAAGCAUGAACAAACGUGUUACAAGACAAGCGACGAGUCAAAGGGAAGGCAGGGCGCACGGGACGAGGCUACUCGCAAAACAAUAGAACACGCUACAACACGUCUAUAACUUGACUACGCUGAUUACUAAUCACUCGCAUUAACCACUUGCAGUCCACACGUGUUUGUACUAAAAACUUGCAGUCGCACUAAUCAAAGUGUAAAGUUGAAAUUAGCCUUUAGAGUUUAGACUCAAUAUGUUAACAGUUGAGGAAUGUGUCGUUUAAAUAAAAACUACGUGCAAUAUAUUUUCUAUCUAAAGCAUCAGCCUGUAAUAUUCCACUAUUAGGUAUAGGACUCUUUCCCCAUUUAGAAGGAUCAGAUCUUAAUCCACCACGUUGCUUCAAUGCGGGUUGGCGGAUAAAUUCCCUGCUAUGAGUAACGAUCGCUAUCAGGUGUACAUGAUAACAACCGGGAACGACAGCUUAACGUGCUCUCCGAGGCACGGUGGGGAGACUCACAAGGACUGCACAAACACCCAGACCACGGCAAAAACCUGUAUGGCCAAUACAAAUGUUUGUCAUGUAAGGGGAUCGAACCCGCAACCGCCAGCGCAACAGGCAUAAUCCUCACAGCCAUGGAUUGCCGUUGCGCCAACGCGGCGUCUCGGCGUCGACGUUUUGUACCUGAUUAUUAAAAAAAAAAUGAGGUUGAAAAUACCUACAUAUACGGUAAUAAAAAAUAACAAACUCACAAAAAUAACGAACAUCAUACGAAAACAAACGCGUUGUCCAUACUGAUUACUUAACGAAACGAAAUAAUAAAUAAAUUAUCUAACGUGUAGUAUAAUAGGAACAAAAAUAUUCUUAAAUAAAAGGUAUCAAAAAUAUAUUGGUUUUGGACAUUGAAAGGAAAAUAGUUAAUAUAUAUAUAUAUACUAAUACUA
rnacentral:misc_RNA from 1 species